rnacentral:rRNA from 1 species
GCAUAUCAAUAAGCGGAAGGAAAAGAAACUAACAAGGGAUUCCCUAGUAACUGCGAGUGAAGCGGGAAAAGCUCAAAUUUAAAAUCUGGCGGUCUUUGGCCGUCCGAGUUGUAGUCUGGAGAAGUGCUUUCCGCGCUGGACCGUGUACAAGUCUCUUGGAACAGAGCGUCAUAGAGGGUGAGAAUCCCGUCUUUGACACGGACUUACCAGUGCUUUGUGAUGCGCUCUCAAAGAGUCGAGUUGUUUGGGAAUGCAGCUCAAAAUGGGUGGUAAAUUCCAUCUAAAGCUAAAUAUUGGCGAGAGACCGAUAGCGAACAAGUACCGUGAGGGAAAGAUGAAAAGCACUUUGGAAAGAGAGUUAAACAGUACGUGAAAUUGCUGAAAGGGAAACGCUUGAAGUCAGUCGCGUUGGCCAGGACUCAGCCUUGCUUUUUUUGCUUGGUGCACUUUCUGGUUGACGGGCCAGCAUCGAUUUUGACCGCUGGAAAAAGGUUGGGGGAAUGUGGCACCUUCGGGUGUGUUAUAGCCCUCAGUCACAUACGGUGGUUGGGAUCGAGGACCGCAGCACGCCUUUAUGGCCGGGGUUCGCCCACGUUCGUGCUUAGGAUGCUGGCGUAAUGGCUUUAAACGACCCGUCUUGAAACACGGACCAAGGAGUCUAACAUGCCUGCGAGUGUUUGGGUGGAAAACCCGAGCGCGUAAUGAAAGUGAAAGUUGAGAUCCCUGUCGUGGGGAGCAUCGACGCCCGGACCUGAACUUCGGUGAUGGCUCUGCGGUAGAGCAUGUAUGUUGGGACCCGAAAGAUGGUGAACUAUGCCUGAAAUAGGGUGAAGCCAGAGGAAACUCUGGUGGAGGCUCGUAGCGAUUCUGACGUGCAAAUCGAUCGUCAAAUUUGGGUAUAGGGGCGAAAGACUAAUCGAAUAUCUAGUAGCUGGGUCUGCGA